rnacentral:rRNA from 1 species
GAUGAACGCUGGCGGCGUGCCUAAUACAUGCAAGUCGAGCGAACAGACGAGGAGCUUGCUCCUCUGACGUUAGCGGCGGCCGGGUGAGUAACACGUGGAUAACCUCCCUAUAAGACUGGGAUAACUUCGGGAUACCGGAGCUAAUACCGGAUAAUAUAUUGAACCGCAUGGUUCAUUAGUGAAAGACGGUUUUGCUGUCACUUAUAGAUGGAUCCGCGCCGCAUUAGCUAGUUGGUAAGGUAACGGCUUACCAAGGCAACGAUGCGUAGCCGACCUGAGAGGGUGGUCGGCCACCCUGGAGCGGAGACACGGUCCAGACUCCUACGGGAGGCAGCAGUAGGGAAGCUUCCGCAAUGGGCGAAAGCUGGACGGAGCAACGCCGCGUGAGUGAUGAAGGUCUUCGGAUCGUAAAACUCUGUUAUUAGGGAAGAACAAAUGUGUAAGUAACUAUGCACGUCUUGACGGUACCUAAUCAGAAAGCCACGGCUAACUACGUG